rnacentral:rRNA from 1 species
CGUCAGAUACUUAGCAGAGAUGCUUUGGUGCCUUCGGGACUCUGAGACAGGUGCUGCAUGGCUGUCGUCAGCUCGUGUUGUGAAAUGUUGGGUUAAGUCCCGCAACGAGCGCAACCCUUAUCCUUUGUUGCCAGCGGUCCGGCCGGGAACUCAAAGGAGACUGCCAGUGAUAAACUGGAGGAAGGUGGGGAUGACGUCAAGUCAUCAUGGCCCUUACCAUUAGGGCUACACACGUGCUACAAUGGCGCAUACAAAGAGAAGCGACCUCGCGAGAGCAAGCGGACCUCAUAAAGUGCGUCGUAAUCUGGAUUGGAGUCUGCAACUCCUGUCCCUGAAGUCCCAAUCGCUACAAAUCAUCUCUGAAAAUGUCUCGGGAUGUACGUUCCCGGGUCUUUCUUCGCCGUAAA